UACAGAGGGUGCAAGCGUUAAUCGGAAUUACUGGGCGUAAAGGGCGCGUAGGUGGUUGUGUGUGUGAGAUGUGAAAUCCCUGGGCUCAACCUGGGAAUGGCAUUUCAAACUGCAUAGCUAGAGUAUAUGAGAGGGUAGUGGAAUUUCCGGUGUAGCGGUGAAAUGCGUAGAUAUCGGAAGGAACACCAGUGGCGAAGGCGGCUACCUGGCAUAAUACUGACACUGAGGCGCGAAAGCGUGGGGAGCAAACAGG
rnacentral:rRNA from 1 species